UACGUAGGUGGCAAGCGUUGUCCGGAUUUACUGGGCGUAAAGGGCGUGCAGGCGGUCUGUUAAGUGCAGGGUGAAAGCUCCCGGCUCAACUGGGAGAGGUCCUUGCAUACUGGCGGACUUGAGGGGGGUAGAGGAAAGUGGAAUUCCCGGUGUAGUGGUGAUAUGCGUAGAUAUCGGGAGGAACACCUGUGGCGAAGGCGGCUUUCUGGGCCCUACCUGACGCUGAGACGCGAAGGCGUGGGGAGCGAACCGG
rnacentral:rRNA from 1 species